CUCAUCAAAUAAAGUUUUGGAUCUCAAAUCGUAAAGAAAGUUUGAAGAGUUGAACCUUAAAAGUUCAUGAAAACAAAGAAAGUAGUGUCUCUAAAUUGGCAAAGAAGUCAUCUGUCCUGCAGAAGGGCUCUUUCUGAGGAAAGAACUCAGCAGUGUUAUAACCCUACUACAGUGACUGAUGUUUGCG